ensembl:snoRNA SNORD15 Small nucleolar RNA SNORD15
CUUCGGUGAUGACACGAUGACGAGUCAGAAAGGCCACCUCCUGCUCUUGGUGCUGGUCAGUGCCACGUUCUGUGGUCCUGGCCAUCGCUCUUUUGCUGAGGUUUCCUGUUCGUUGGUGAUCUAGAGGCAUUUGUCUGAGAAGG